rnacentral:rRNA from 1 species
AUUGAACGCUGGCGGCAGGCUUAACACAUGCAAGUCGAGCGAGCGGCGGACGGGUGAGUAAUGUCUGGGAAUCUGCCUGAUGGAGGGGGAUAACUACUGGAAACGGUAGCUAAUACCGCAUACUAUCGGAUGUACCCAUAUGGGAUUAGCUAGUAGGUGGGGUAAAGGCUCACCUAGGCGACGAUCCCUAGCUGGUCUGAGAGGAUGACCAGCCACACUGGAACUGAGACACGGUCCAGACUCCUACGGGAGGCAGCAGUGGGGAAUAUUGCACAAUGGGCGCAAGCCUGAUGCAGCCAUGCCGCGUGUAUGAAGAAGGCCUUCGGGUUGUAAAGUACUUUCAGCGGGGAGGCGUUACCCGCAGAAGAAGCACCGGCUAACUCCGUGCCAGCAGCCGCGGUAAUUC